rnacentral:lncRNA from 1 species
CCUGUGAUCCUAUGAACGAGACGAGAUUCAUUUGUCUUCAAGAAGUCCGAUUACUCCGGCCAGCUGCUCUUGGUGGAUGGGCCCAAACAGUGAGGGAAUAGCUUGUCUUUCCUGGAAAGCCACUGAAGGAGCCCAAAUUAGUAUCUCCCUUGCCGCUGGAUGCCGCUGCAUUUGAGUUGGAUUCAUUCUCAGUGGAACAUGGUCGCCUGGAAGGCUCUCUGAUGGCUGUGCUAUGCCUUGCGACCUACACUGCCAUGCAGGUGAUUAAAUACGAUGUUUUAAUGUACUGUUUUUUUUGUCU